GCCCCUUGGCGUUCGCUGAGGAAAUUGCACGCGCCUGUUGACCCAGGGAAAGCGCUGAGAAAGCAUCUCACUCCUGAUCUAACUUUACUUAUUUUUUCCGAGAUAAUUCCAACUAAAUUAUUUCAGCUACAUACGCCUUUCCAUUGUUUCGGACACGAUGAUUAAAUCAGAGAGCGAUGGUGAAUAGACCACAGAGCACUUAGAUCAACUGCGUGACGAAAAAGGAGACCUGUGUGUUGCUUCUCAAACUUUGCUGCCCUGUGGAAUCACCUGGAGAGUUCAAAACAUAUAUAUUGAUUCUUGGGUCCCACCUCUAGAGACUCUGAUUUAAUUGGAACAGGACAGGAUCUGGUCUGGGCAUUGAGAAAUCACCAGAGAUUGCG
rnacentral:lncRNA from 10 species